UGAUUGAAAAAGCAGGGUAAUGUGCAUAGAAAUUGAUUUGGGUCUCUAGGCCUGCCUUCUCUCAUGCACUUCAGCUUUGAUUUGGGAGCAUAGUUCUACAACAAAACG